GAUGAACGCUGGCGGCGUGCCUAAUACAUGCAAGUCGAGCGAACGGACGAGAAGCUUGCUUCUCUGAUGUUAGCGGCGGACGGGUGAGUAACACGUGGAUAACCUACCUAUAAGACUGGGAUAACUUCGGGAAACCGGAGCUAAUACCGGAUAAUAUUUUGAACCGCAUGGUUCAAAAGUGAAAGACGGUCUUGCUGUCACUUAUAGAUGGAUCCGCGCUGCAUUAGCUAGUUGGUAAGGUAACGGCUUACCAAGGCAACGAUGCAUAGCCGACCUGAGAGGGUGAUCGGCCACACAGGAACUGAGACACGGUCCAGACUCCUACGGGAGGCAGCAGUAGGGAAUCUUCCGAAAUGGGCGAAAGCCUGACGGAGCAACGCCGCGUGAGUGAUGAAGGUCUUCGGAUCGUAAAACUCUGUUAUUAGGGAAGAACAUAUGUGUAAGUAACUGUGCACAUCUUGACGGUACCUAAUCAGAAAGCCACGGCUAACUACGUG
rnacentral:rRNA from 1 species